AACGAACGCUGGCGGCAUGCCUAACACAUGCAAGUCGAACGAGACCUUCGGGUCUAGUGGCGCACGGGUGCGUAACGCGUGGGAACCUGCCCUUAGGUUCGGAAUAACUCCCCGAAAGGGGUGCUAAUACCGGAUAAUGUCUUCGGACCAAAGAUUUAUCGCCUUUGGAUGGGCCCGCGUGGAUUAGCUAGUUGGUAGGGUAAAAGCCUACCAAGGCGACGAUCCAUAGCUGGUCUGAGAGGAUGAUCAGCCACACUGGGACUGAGACACGGCCCAGACUCCUACGGGAGGCAGCAGUGGGGAAUAUUGGACAAUGGGCGAAAGCCUGAUCCAGCAAUGCCGCGUGAGUGAUGAAGGCCUUAGGGUUGUAAAGCUCUUUUACCCGGGAUGAUAAUGACAGUACCGGGAGAAUAAGCUCCGGCUAACUCCGUG
rnacentral:rRNA from 1 species